rnacentral:rRNA from 1 species
AUUGAACGCUGGCGGCAGGCCUAACACAUGCAAGUCGAACGCGUGGCGGACGGGUGAGUAAUAUCUGGGAAACUGCCUGAUGGGGGGGGAUAACUACUGGAAACGGUAGCUAAUACCCCAUACGAUCAGGGGUGCCCCGAUGGGAUUAGCUAGUUGGUGGGGUAACGGCUCACCUAGGCGACGAUCCCUAGCUGGUCUGAGAGGAUGACCAGCCACACUGGAACUGAGACACGGCCCAGACUCCUACGGGAGGCAGCAGUGGGGAAUAUUGCACAAUGGGCGCAAGCCUGACGCAGCCAUGCCGCGUGUAUGAAGAAGGCCUUCGGGUUGUAAAGUACUUUCAGCGGCGAGGCGUUACCCGCAGAAGAAGCACCGGCUAACUCCGUGCCAGCAGCCGCGGUAAUUC